CGAGUCGGCCAGGCAACCGCCCGGCAGCUUCGGCUGCCGGGAGGAAAGUCCGGGCUCCGGCGGGCAGGGUGCCAGGUAACGCCUGGGGGGCGCGAGCCCACGGAAAGUGCCACAGAAAACAUACCGCCUAAGGGCCCCGGAGCGAUCCGGAGCCCCGGCAAGGGUGAAAAGGUGCGGUAAGAGCGCACCGCGCGGGUGGUAACACGCCGCGGCACGGAAAACCCCACCCGGAGCAAGACCAAAUAGGGAAGCACGUGGCCCGCAAGGGCCACACCGUCGCCCGCACGGGCUUCCGGGUAGGUCGCUUGAGGCUGCCGGUGACGGCGGUCCCAGAUGAAUGGUUGCCCACGACAGAACCCGGCUUAUCGGCCGACUCGCUCU
rnacentral:RNase_P_RNA from 1 species